GACGAACGCUGGCGGCGUGCUUAACACAUGCAAGUCGAACGGAAAGGCCCUGCUUGCAGGGUACUCGAGUGGCGAACGGGUGAGUAACACGUGGGUGAUCUGCCCUGCACUUCGGGAUAAGCUUGGGAAACUGGGUCUAAUACCGGAUAGGAGCCAUCUUUAGUGUGGUGGUUGGAAAGUUUUUUCGGUGUAGGAUGAGCUCGCGGCCUAUCAGCUUGUUGGUGGGGUAAUGGCCUACCAAGGCGGCGACGGGUAGCCGGCCUGAGAGGGUGUACGGUCAAAGUGGGACUGAGAUACGGACCAGACUCCGACGGGAGGCAGCAGUGGGGAAUAUUGCACAAUGGGCGCAAGCCUGAUGCAGCGACGCCGCGUGGGGGAUGAAGGCCUUCGGGUUGUAAACUCCUUUCGCUAGGGAAGAAGCUUUUUUGUGACGGUACCUAGAUAAGAAGCACCGGCUAACUACGUG
rnacentral:rRNA from 1 species